rnacentral:rRNA from 1 species
UGGUCCCCGCUGACGAGCGGCGGAUGGGUGAGUAAUGCUUAGGAAACUGCCCAGUAGUGGGGGAUAGCCCGGGGAAACCCGGAUUAAUACCGCGUACGCCCUUCGGGGGAAAGCAGGGGCUCUUCGGACCUUGCGCUAUUGGAUGUGCCUAAAUCGGAUUAACUAGUUGGUGGGGUAAAGGCCUACCAAGGCGACCAUCCCUAACUGGUCUGAAAGGAUGAUCCGCCACAUCCGGACUGAAACACGGCCCGAACUCCUACGGGAGGCAGCAGUGGGGAAUAUUGGACAAUGGGGGCAACCCUGAUCCCCCAUGCCGCGUGUGUGAAGAAGGCUUUCCGGUUGUAAAGCACUUUCCGUGAGGAGGAAGGCUGUAAGGUUAAUACCCUUGCAGAUUGACCUUACUCACAAAAGAA